CCUACGGGUGGCAGCAGUCGAGAAUUAUUCACAAUGGGGGAAACCCUGAUGGUGCGACGCCGCGUGGGGGAAUGAAGGUCUUCGGAUUGUAAACCCCUGUCAUGUGGGAGCAAAUUAAAAAGAUAGUACCACAAGAGGAAGAGACGGCUAACUCUGUGCCAGCAGCCGCGGUAAUACAGAGGACUCAAGCGUUGUUCGGAAUCACUGGGCGUAAGGCGUGCGUAGGCUGUUUCGUAAGUCGUGUGUGAAAGGCGCGGGCUCAACCCGCGGACGGCACAUGAUACUGCGAGACUAGAGUAAUGGAGGGGGAACCGGAAUUCUCGGUGUAGCAGUGAAAUGCGUAGAUAUCGAGAGGAACACUCGUGGCGAAGGCGGGUUCCUGGACAUUAACUGACGCUGAGGCACGAAGGCCAGGGGAGCGAAAGGGAUUAGAUACCCCAGUAGUC
rnacentral:rRNA from 1 species